rnacentral:rRNA from 1 species
GACGAACGCUGGCGGCGUGCCUAAUACAUGCAAGUAGAACGCUGAAGAGAGGAGCUUGCUCUUCUUGGAUGAGUUGCGAACGGGUGAGUAACGCGUAGGUAACCUGCCUUGUAGCGGGGGAUAACUAUUGGAAACGAUAGCUAAUACCGCAUAACAAUGGAUGACCCAUGUCAUUUAUUUGAAAGGGGCAAAUGCUCCACUACAAGAUGGACCUGCGUUGUAUUAGCUAGUAGGUGAGGUAACGGCUCACCUAGGCGACGCUACAUAGCCGACCUGAGAGGGUGAUCGGCCACACUGGGACUGAGACACGGCCCAGACUCCUACGGGAGGCAGCAGUAGGGAAUCUUCGGCAAUGGGGGCAACCCUGACCGAGCAACGCCGCGUGAGUGAAGAAGGUUUUCGGAUCGUAAAGCUCUGUUGUAAGUCAAGAACGAGUGUGAGAGUGGAAAGUUCACACUGUGACGGUAGCUUACCAGAAAGGGACGGCUAACUACGUG